CCAGAGAUGGAUUGGUGCCUUCGGGAACUCUGAGACAGGUGCUGCAUGGCUGUCGUCAGCUCGUGUUGUGAAAUGUUGGGUUAAGUCCCGCAACGAGCGCAACCCUUAUCCUUUGUUGCCAGCGGUCCGGCCGGGAACUCAAAGGAGACUGCCAGUGAUAAACUGGAGGAAGGUGGGGAUGACGUCAAGUCAUCAUGGCCCUUACGAGUAGGGCUACACACGUGCUACAAUGGCGCAUACAAAGAGAAGCGACCUCGCGAGAGCAAGCGGACCUCAUAAAGUGCGUCGUAGUCCGGAUUGGAGUCUGCAACUCGACUCCAUGAAGUCGGAAUCGCUAGUAAUCGUGGAUCAGAAUGCCACGGUGAAUACGUUCCCGGGCCUUGUACACACCGCCCGUCACACCAUGGGAGUGGGUUGCAAAAGAAGUAGGUAGCUUAACCUUCGGGAGGGCGCUUACCACUUUGUGAUUCAUGACUGGGGUGAAGUCGUAACAAGGUAACCGUAGGGGAACCUGCGGUUGGAUCACCUCCUU
rnacentral:rRNA from 1 species